CCUUCCUUGGACUUCCCCAACCGUGUGCUAGUGCGUCACUGAACAUACAACCACUACAACUCUAUCACUUCCAUGUAACGGCUUUCGUCUGUUGAAGGAGGAGCGGACCAAAAUGCAGCGUGGUACUUUCGAGACAUAUUUAUUGAAGAACGAAAAAACACGAACAAUACAAAAACAACAAAACGGAAACUUGAAAACCUAAACAGUCCUAUCUGGUGAAGACACAGAGACAGGAACAAUCACCCACGAAAACACUCAAAGAAUAUGGCUGCCUAAAUAUGGUUCCCAAUCAGAGACAACGAUAAUCACCUGACUCUGAUUGAGAACCGCCUCAGGCAGCCAUAGACUUAUCUAGAACACCCCACACAACCCCAAGACGAAACACACCACAAAUAAACCCAUGUCACACCCUGGCCUGACCCAAUAAAUGAAGAUAAACAUAAUAAAUAUAGACCAGGGCGUGACAUUCCACUGGUUUCUCUUCCUGUUUUUCCUAGUGUGUCUGUUUGUUGUAUGGAAAUAAAGUGUGAAUUGUA